rnacentral:rRNA from 1 species
CACCACGAACGGGUGGAGCUUGUCGGUUUAAUUGGAUUCAACGCCGGAAAUCUUACCGGGACCGACAGCAAUAUGAAGGCCAGGCUGAAGACUUUGCCGGAUUAGCUGAGAGGUGGUGCAUUGGCCGUCGUCAGUUCGUACUGUGAAGCAUCCUGUUAAGUCAGGCAACGAGCGAGACCCACGCCCACAGUUGCCAGCGUACUCUCUGGAGUGACGGGUACACUGUGGGGACCGCCGCUGCUAAAGCGGAGGAAGGAAUGGGCAACGGUAGGUCAGUAUGCCCCGAAUAUCCCGGGCUACACGCGAGCUACAAUGGUUGGUACAAUGGGUAUCUACCCCGAAAGGGGACGGGAAUCUCCUAAAACCAAUCUUAGUUCGGAUUGAGGGCUGCAACUCGCCCUCAUGAAGCUGGAAUCCGUAGUAAUCGCGUUUCAACAGAACGCGGUGAAUACGUCCCUGCUCCUU